GUGCAGUGCAGAACAGCAUCAAACGCGACUAAGGUGGGUAAUAACUUUACCCUCUUAUUUUUAUCAACGACACGCGUCAACGGCUGUUCCACUACUUUAUAUUAAGACGCUCGGCCGGCUGCGUGGACUGACGUUAUAAUAAUUUUCCAAGUUGCCGCUCUAUUAUCGGUGUCGAUGGACACACAGCCAACCUCCCGUUGCGGGAUGCGUUGUUUUCGGUACCUGGAUAUGACUGAAGGAUUUCCUGAACAAGAAAGAGAAAUCGGUAACCAACGACAAUGGAGUUAGCGAAAUCUGAUUUGCAGAGCAAGUAGAGGAUGGACAUUGGCAAGCAACUUGCUGGGAAAAUUAACUACAUCGUUGUUGGUAGAGUUAAAGCGCGCCCCAUCGAGAAACCCUUUCGAAACUUCCUCCUCGAGUUACCAUUUAGGAGGCACAUUGGCGAUAGACCAAAGUAAAUCUUAAAAGACUCGCUGCAAAUGUCGUAAAUAAUAAUGCUUCGAUGGUUACUAAAAUCCACAACAACUGUUUCGCAGUUUAUUUUAUUAUACCUCGUAAAAUAUGAACGCGUCGUGGGAUUCGUGUAUGUACUACACGGUCAAAUUCAGCGUCAGGUCCGCUCGAAAUAAUCUUCCGUGUCCGCGGUUCGCAACGAGCCUCUCAGGAUAUGUAAAGAGCCGAAAGACAGUGACAAAUCGGUCAUGGACCGUCGAACCUGGUGAAACAAAACUGAAGAGAAAAAAGAAAAAGAAGGUAGACAUGUUACUGGCGUGGCGACUUCCUGUUGUGAUCUGGCGUUAAAUAAUUCCACCGACUAACGUGUAUUUUGGCAGAAUGAACGUUGCCUGGGCGGAAUUCGAAUUCAGAGUAAAAUCUUUCAUUAAAUGCUGCUACCACAGUGAAGAUUCAACCUGUCGACAGACGUUCCGUCCCUAAACAUCUUAAACGUAAACGGCCACCAACGACACGUGGUAGUUUGGUUAGCCAAGCGGUUAGGACAAGCGAUUUAAUUCGAUUAAUUUAGGUGCAUCGUUCUCGAUGGUCAUGGUACAGGAUCACGUGUUGGAAACAAGAGGCCACAAUAGAUUUCACGUACACAAAAGCCAGACGCGAAGGUACUGUACACAGCCGCGUAUCUACGUACGCACGUACCCGCCAACUGCCAGUGAAUGACGCAAAACACGCGGAUUAUUUUGUCGCGACGACUUUAUUUCGAGACGCGCCGCAUCGUUUCGUUACUUCCAACCGUUUCGUUCACGGCACCCGAAACUCUCGGCUGAUCUUUCUGGCACAGGAGAAAUCAUUAUUUUCCUCAAACUGACAGAAGGUUUCUGUAAUCCACUCGACUGCCUGGCAAAUGAAAAUCUCAAUACUUCGUUGACCCUUCAUUCUCUUUUCUCCAUUUUAAUUAACUAUCGUAUCAGUUUAAGUAAAGUAAGAUCGAUCCAAUUAACUGAUGACACACGUUAUGCGUCAUACGUUAAUAGAAAGCAUCAGCAUAAAUAAUAAAUGAAUCAAAUUUAUCAAGU